CAGAGAAGUAUGGGACAGGGUGGCUGUGACAACUGACUUUGACUCCAAGUCCCUGGGCAGGUUGUUUUCCUUUUGAAAUGAUUCAGGAUCAUAGCAAAUACAUUACUGUAUUUAAUACUUCAAGCCCCAAGCACAGGAAGGAGCAGGUUUGUUUCCACAACCAGGGAGCUCUGACAGCUCUAAAGUCUUGUCUUGACACAGAUGCAUUUUGAAUCUAAUGAAUGCAAAUGGUGUGUUCACAUAGGAGGAAAACUGUCUGACUGGCUGUAGGAGUGCCUUGGUACGAAUAUUACAGUAAUGAAUGCCAAUCAAGAACAUGUGUGCAUACUCACACAUGCAACAGGUACACAUGUAUGCAUAUCUCUCUUGAGUUUCUGUAAGUCCAUCUACAAGAAAAGCUAAGGCUUUGCCUCCUCACAACCCAAGAUGUUACGACAAGAAAGGUCAGGAAGACCAGUCUCAUUGAGGACAAGACUUAUGUAGCUGAGGCUGGCUGUGAAUGCCUCAGAGGUUGAGUUCUACCACACUGAGAUUGGUUGAAUUCUCAUGGCUGCUGAUUCUGCCUUGGCAGCCAACUGUUUAUCUUAUUACUUCUGGAUUAUGUGGGAUUUUCUGUGAAUAGAAGUUAUUCCUAUUUCCAGUAGGUGCUCCUCUUGGCUUAUGGAUCCGCUGAGGUCGGGAUAAUCAGGAUCAGGAUAAUUAAAAACUUUCAUUGCAUCCUGCCCAGCUCUGGAAUCAGCCAUAUAUCUGAAGACCUCCAAUUCCAAGGUGUUGAGCACAUUUGUGGCAUCUGGAGUGUGUUUAUUGGUCAUCAACUCAAUACACAGGGCCUGAAAUGAGCAUACUUAUGUUCUUUUCUCUUUUGUGAUUAAUACCUGUUACAAAAACCUGCAAA